UCCAAACACACGAUCUAAGACUAGUACUGCUAGCUAGGUGUACGUAUACGUAUAGCUAGCUAGCUUGUAUAAACAGCUUGCAAACUUCCAGUUCCAAGUCCAUGUCCAGCUUGCUGCAGGCGAAGUUUUAUUAGUCAUAGAUCUCUACGUGGGCAGUCCAACAUCUCUAGCUGUCCAGUGUUUACCAGUGCAGUGUUAACAUUAAAUCAAUAGUCUUUCCACUUUUUUGGAAUGAUGUUAGCUUUUGUUACUCCUAUAGAUUAGACCAAGAGUGCCAUGAAUAGCAGUAGUGCAUUCCACGUAGGGUAUAGGGCAUUGUGAAUGGACUUUGAGGGAAAUAUCAUACAGUAGAACCUCGAUUAUCCGGACACCUUGGUUCCAGAAGGAGGCUGGAUAAGUGAAUAUGCCGGAUAAUCGAAUAGAUAAACCACGCCUUGAUCCACCCACUUUAUUGAUAAACAGCAGUGCCACAUGGUUGUCUGCGCAUGCGCAGAAGAUAAGCAGGCAUGUCUCCAUGGUAACGGCUGCAACGUGCAUGCGCAUUUGAGGGACACGCCCAUUUUCUGAAUUAUUUAAUCUGAUUAAAAAGAAAACUGCCAAGCCGAAUAAUCGCAGUUCCGGAUAAUGGAGGGCCGGAUAAUCGAGGUUCUACUGUAUUUUAUAUGAAUUCUAAUUACCGCAAUUCAAUUUUUCACUUGGUGCUCAUUUAGAAGGGAAAAAAAAUUCAAUUUCGAGGUUAGUGCUUCAAUUAGAGCGGUGCAUAGCAAAAAGAGUGAGUUUGGACAUUUUCUAAAAUGGGCGUGGUAGUUUAGUAGAGAAGCACAAUCUGUAGGUACAGCUUAUAUAUAUGGCUAUUGAAAAGCAAUCCGAUCAGCGAUAGGUUCUUGCAUCACCCCAGUUUUUUUUUUAUUCAUGACUGCAAUCCUUAAUAUUGUUGCCUCCUCUAUUUACCUCGUGGUCAGCUAAGCAAAGCACCAUAAUUCAAUUUUACACUUGGUGCUCAAUUAGAACAGUAUAUUUCGAGGUUGGUCCUAUAGUAUUAGAGCGGUGCGGUAAUUAGAAGGUAUACGGCAGUGGCGUAGGCAGAGGGGGCUGACGGGGUUAGAGCCCCCCCCCCCCCUUGUGCUCCAUCAACUCCAACUUAGCUUGAAUCACUGUGAUCUGUCGAUCUAUUCUGCACUGUACUGCACGCAUAGUUAUUAGAGAAUGAUGUCAUUCAAUGGAUAUGGGCAGGGCCAUCUAAUGCGCAUGCUGAUCGACUGCUGAGGAAAAGUGAUGAAAAUAAAUUAAGUAUGCAAUUUUUUUAAUGGUACUGUCUAGGCAGCGCAGCCAUGGCCUCCUUGCCUCUCCCAAAGAAAAGGAAAAUUGAGUAUCCCGAACACUUCAAGGCACUGAACACUGCACUGACCACAGAAUUCAGAUAUUUGAAAAUGGCGCAAAUAGCCGCACCGUAUGACAGGUAUAAUAUUAUGCUUAAACUCGAUCAUCAUUCAUUAGAUGGAGUAUCACUAACAGUACCACUUUAUGAUAUCAUUGACAGUAAGAUGUGUAAAGAUACCUUUGCGAAAAACAUGCCAAGUAGCAAGGUAUACGAGGAAUUCUCAAAAUUAGUUUUUAAAAAGGAUGACUAAGAGAACUUGUGAGUGCACUCGCUCCAUUAUGCAAGUCCAUUGUCACAGACAAAAACUACAGUACUAAGUUACUAAAUGUGACCUCGGGUCAUAUUGGGAUCGGCACUGUCAACACUUGGUACGGGACGCCAGACAUGCGCUUAGAGGCAGAAUCAAGCUAUGUGGACGUAGUUGUUCCCCGUGUUUCGGCUGUUUCGGACAUGUAUGUGGAGGAUAAAGUAGAUAUAAACAGGAAGGAAGAUAAAGUGAGAAGUCAAGUCGUGGCUACGACAGUCGUUGCAUCGUUUACGAACUCCAAUGUGUACAAAAAGAGCAUGGCACCUGUCGUCCUCUUGUGCAAGAGACUAAUGUGCGUUUGCAUGUACAAUUGUGAUUCCGACAUCCUUCUGUAUUCUACUAAGGUACCUAUAUCUAAUGAUGUUGGUGUGGCAGCACUGUUAUGCAUUUCAGGUACAUAACCCUAUAGACACGUGUUCAGAAUACUUUUAUGCUUUAAUGCACACUUCACAGGGAAUUUGAAAAGGUGAAAAGUAUAUCUAAGAAGGCGUUAAAAUCACGUAUUCCGCUCUACUUGGCACGUGGUGACCAUGAACCACUCAAGCAAUUUAAAUUGCUAACCGAAAUGAAUGUGUACUGGCCCUCUACAAAAAAAUUGCAAGAUGACAUUAAGAGUUCCACUGUACGAAUCCGAAUCCGAACACGAACACGAACACGAACACGAACACGAACACGAACACGAACACGAACACAAACAAACCAUUCAACCUUCUUAAUUGCAUAUGGAAUGUUUAAUUCUUUGAGUAUUAUUGCAUAUUGAAUUUUAAAGUCACAGCAAAUAAUUAUGUGGCGGACAUUGA